ensembl:lncRNA
UUCCAUCGCAGCAGAGCAGGAAGCAGCUCCAGGUCCUUUCUGCAGGCAACGCAAAAACAGCAGCAGUCUUUCUCUAUGUGAGCCAUCGUGAUCUUCAGUGCAUCGAUGUCUUUACACUCCACAACAUCUGGAAUCUUCAGCAGGAUCCGGUUCCACUGUUGGACUCCAGGAGCCUGAUGGAACAUAAUAAACACACACAGGUUGGCCAUGAUGCGGUGAAGAUGUUCUGCAUCCUCUUGGACCGUUUGCUCCACGUCUGGGUUCCAACAUCUCUGCAGUUUACGUCGACUGCUCUGGAGGAGAUGCUUCAGAUGCAGCUGAAGGUUUUGGUCCAGAUCUGCAGGAGGCUUCGGGAAAAUCUGGGACAAGAAUCUUCGUACGAGGUGAACAACACGUUGUUGCAUAUCGUGUCGACCUGAGCAGCAAGAUCCGUCCUCAGGGGUGGUGGCAUCAGAAUACUUCCCGAGAAGCUCAAAUAGCUCCUGAAGAAAGACGUCUUUCUCCUGCUGCAGGUGUUCUUCCUCCUCAGUGUUGACGGUGUUCUGAACCAAGGGCUCGGCUACAGUGUAUCCUGUAAAAGAUAUGAAAAGGGAUUAUUCAUGGACACCGAAUCCCUUUUUAGGGGGUCGUGUCUCAUUUUUUGAUUGGUCUUGUCCACAUCACAGAGCAGUUACAAUAAUCACUUUUGGAAUAAACCAAACACAGAAACUUUAAAAGCUUAACUGGAGUCCAAGCUCUUAGUGAGUCCAUUUCAUUUAGUGCUAAUGUUACACUUGGGUUUGUAAUUGCUGCUUUCUGUCAUUUUCCAACACGGUUUUCCAACGUUUUCACUCACUGUUUACUUUAGUUUUCGAAACCGAAAGUCUGACAUGGUUAGUUCAAGGGCCGUCAACAAUUCUUUCCAUUUUUACAGCUCUUGGUUCUGAUAAAUGGUGUAAGUUUGGCAGUUGUUUUGAUUUAUUAACUUCUUUAAAGGUGCCUUUAAAAAAUCUGCCGGUGGGUUUUGGAGGCGCGGCAGGAUUACUGCACAGGAAACAAAGGAAUUUCUACUCCUGUUGUUCUUGAACUACAGUUCUUAUCACGGUUUAGUGACUUCUUAUCAAAUAUUUUUCCCAGAAGUUUGACUAAGGUAGGAAUGGGCCGAGCUUGGAAAAAAUGACGUAACAUUUUCGAUGGAUGAUUAUGAAACUGUUCAGCGUGCAGACAUUGGCUUCAGCUGAAUACUGGUUUGGAGGAUAUGUGUAGCUUCCAGACAAUGACUUCUAGUGACUUUGUUGGCACCAUGAUGUUUUGUUUAACCACAAGGCAUUCACUGAUCUACUUCUUAGCUUUUCCAUUCAUCAUAAGAAAGUGGAAGAACCGAUUCGUUUACUACAAUAAAAAUUGGAGCCGAUGAUAACACGACUGGCAUCACAGAAGAAAC